rnacentral:rRNA from 1 species
CCUGGCUCAGGAUGAACGCUAGCUACAGGCUUAACACAUGCAAGUAGAGGGGCAGCAAUAGAUAGGUUUCGGCUUAUUUAGAUGGCGACCUGCGAAUGGGUGAGUAACACGUAUCCAACCUGGCUGUUACUGGAGGAUAGCCUCCCGAAAGGGAAAGUAAGACUCCAUGGAAUGAUUGCAAGACAUCUUGUGAUGAUUAAAGGUUACGGUAACAGAUGGGGAUGCGUCCCAUUAGGCAGUUGGCGGGGUAACGGCCCACCAAACCGACGAUGGGUAGGGGUUCUGAGAGGAAGGUCCCCCACAUUGGAACUGAGACACGGUCCAAACUCCUAUGGGAGGCAGCAGUGAGGAAUAUUGGUCAAUGGACGGAAGUCUGAACCAGCCAAGUAGCGUGCAGGAAGACGGCCCUAUGGGUUGUAAACUGCUUUUAUACGAGGGUAAAGUGUGCCACGAGUGGCAUAUUGCAAGUAUCGUAAGAAAAAGGAUCGGCUAAUUCCGUGCCAGCAGCCGCGGUAAUACGGAAGAUCCAAGCGUUAUCCGGAUUUAUUGGGUUUAAAGGGAGCGUAGGCGGAGGUUCAAGUCAGUUGUGAAAGUCUGUGGCUUAACCAUAGAAUUGCAGUUGAAACUGAAUUUCUUGAGUGUAGAUAAGGAUGGUGGAAUUUGUGGUGUAGCGGUGAAAUGCAUAGAUAUCACGAAGAACUCCAAUUGCGAAGGCAGCCAUCCGGGCUACAACUGACGCUGANGCUCGAAAGUGCGGGAAUCAAACANGAUUAGAUACCCUGNNAGUCCGCACCGUAAACGAUGGAUACUCGUGGUUGGCGAUAAACAGUCAGUCACCAAGCGAGAGCGUUAAGUAUCCCACCUGGGGAGUACGCCGGCAACGGUGAAACUCAAAGGAAUUGACCGGGGGCCCGCACAANCGGAAGGAACAUGUGGUUUAAUUCGAUGAUAC